rnacentral:rRNA from 1 species
GACGAACGCUGGCGGCGUGCUUAACACAUGCAAGUCGAACGGAAAGGCCCUGCUUUUGUGGGGUGCUCGAGUGGCGAACGGGUGAGUAACACGUGAGUAACCUGCCCUUGACUUUGGGAUAACUUCAGGAAACUGGGGCUAAUACCGGAUAGGAGCUCCUGCUGCAUGGGGGGGGUUGGAAAGUUUCGGCGGUUGGGGAUGGACUCGCGGCUUAUCAGCUGGUUGGUGGGGUAGUGGUUUACCAAGGCUUUGACGGGUAGCCGGCCUGAGAGGGUGACCGGCCACAAUGGGACUGAGAUACGGCCCAGACUCCUACGGGAGGCAGCAGUGGGGAAUAUUGCACAAUGGGCGGAAGCCUGAUGCAGCAACGCCGCGUGCGGGAUGCCGGCCUUCGGGUGGUAAACCGCUUUCGCCGGUGACGAAGCGUGAGUGACGGUAAUGGGUAAAGAAGCACCGGCUAACUACGUG